CUAGCUCUGGAGCGGGAAGGGCUAGCUCCCUGAGAACAAGGUACCUGAAGUGGAGCGGUGCUGGGGAAGGGCAAAGGGAGCUGAGGAGCUCCUGCCUACAAGCGCCAGCCCUUGUAAGAGUCCAAACAGCAAAGAGUGGAAAAAUCUUCAUGUCAGAUAUCUUUAUUGCCCUCUGCAGCAUUCAGACCGAUGGGAUGAGGCCUUCUACAGUGUUUGCCUCUACCCAGUGGAUGGAAAGUGAAUUGCGUGACAUUAAACAUAGCUUUUGGACUCUCUGAAAAAGGGUUUCUUGGAUAAGAAGACAUACCCAACAGCACAGAAACCCACUAAAUUAUUCCUACCCAAGGG